GUGCUCACUUCAGCAGCGUAUAUACUAAAAUUGGAACGAUACAGAGAAGAAUUGCAUGGCCUCUGCAUAAGGAUGUCAUGCAAAUUCAUGAAGCAUUCCAUAUUUAA
rfam:Erinaceus europaeus unplaced genomic scaffold scaffold00459, whole genome shotgun sequence